GUCUACAGCCAUUCUACCCUGAAUGUGCUGAUUGCAUCUGAUCUCAGAAGCUAAUAAGCAGGGUCUGGUUAGUACUUGGAUGGGAAAUUUUUACAUUUCUUUUAGCCUGUCAACC
rnacentral:rRNA from 1 species